rnacentral:lncRNA from 1 species
GGGGGGGGGGGGGGGGGGGGGGGGGGGGGGGGGGGGGGGGGGGGGGGGGGGGGGGGGGGGGGGGGGGGGGGGGGGGGGGGGGGGGGGGGGGGGGGGGGGGCUGCCCAGCUCGGCCCGGACCCGGAACCAGAGCGUCCAGCGCCGGCCCAGCUCGGGGGGCAGCCAGCACUGCGUGCGGGGGGUCUGCGCGCAGCCCAUGCCGCUCCACUGCUCGAAGGAGGCCCUGCAGGCCACAGCAAACACCCUCAGCCACCAGCCAGCACAGCCUGCAGCAACAGCCCCUGCCCUCCCUGCAGUGCUGGGCCACAAAGGGUUAAACCCAACCCACCCCUGGGGCACACAAAGGGUUAAACCCAACAGCCCCCAGGGGGGCACAAAGGGUUAAACCAAACAGCCCCCCUGGGGGGUACAAAGGGUUAAACUCAACAAUCCCCCCCCUGUGGAGCAUAAAGGGUUAAACCCAGCCCAGGGCUCUGGGGAGGUUUAAAU